rnacentral:rRNA from 1 species
AGCGGCGAGCGAACAGGGAAGAGCCCAGCGCCGAAUUCCGCGUCCCCGAGGGCGUUUGGAACAUGUGGCGUUUAGGAGGAAUCUCUCCGAGGGUAGACGGCGUCGCAAGUCCCCCUGAACGGGGCUGUGAUCCAGAGCGGGUGCGAGGCCCAUAGCUGGUGCCGUCUCCUUCGGGUGUCGCCUCCUUGGAGUCGGGUUGCUUGGGAGUGCAGCCCUAAUCGGGUGGUAAACUCCACCUAAGGCUAAAUACGUCCGUGAGACCGAUAGCAAACAAGUACCGUGAGGGAAAGUUGCAAAGAACUUUGAAGAGAGAGUUCAAGAGUACGUGAAACCGCUCAGAGGCAAACGGGUGGGCCCACGAAAGCCGAAGGCGGGGGGAUUCAGUCGAGAGGACGGUGGGGCAGUGCCGGCUGGUCGGACGGACCGUGCCAGGCCGGGUCGGUGCCCGAGACCCGCCGCCUUUCGACGCAUUUCCCUCUGCUUAGUAGGACGCCGCAACCGGUUGGCGCCGCAGCCAUAAGGGAGAGUAAUCGGAAGGUAGCCAGCGAGCGCUUCUUCGGAGGCGCGAGCUGGUCCUAAGCCAGCUCUCCUGGUGCUUGUGGCCCGACCGUGGUCUUGAGUCCCCGAGCGGGAUGUCGCCGAGCCCUCCGAACGGAGCGGGUAGAAACGGCAGGCUGCUUUCCGCGGAAAAAAAUUCGAUCGCUUCACGCGUGCAGUGGGCGAUCUCCGGAGGCGGCUGAUGGUUCGUUUUUCUCCUGCGCUGGGCACAGGCAGUUGGCGGCGAGUAGGUCGGUCACCCACCCGACCCGUCUUGAAACACGGACCAAGGAGUCUAACAUGUGCGCGAGUCAUUGGGUCUUGAACAAGCCCAAAGGCGCAAUGAAAGUGAAGACCAGCACUGAAGCUGGUGGAGUUGGGAAACUGCGUCCCUGAAGGCGCGGUUGCACCAACGGCCCGUCCCGUCCGCAUCGUCGGUGGGGCGGAGCGAGAGCGUACACGUUGGGACCCGAAAGAUGGUGAACUAUGCCUGGGCAGGACGAAGCCAGAGGAAACUCUGGUGGAGGUCCG